rnacentral:lncRNA from 1 species
UUAACUAACAUUUUUUUAUUAUAUUAUAGAUGCGAUAAAAAAAAUGUUUUAAAAAAACAAAAUAUUAUAAAUUUAUCCACUUUAAUCUUAUAAAUUAAUAAGUGACACGAAUAUAGAUAUAUAAGAUAUCCUCUGGAUAAUUCAAAUCGAACCAAUUGGAUGUCCGACUCGGGCCUAUAUGACAUGACCAAUCAAUAAAAAGACUCUANNACUCUACCUNUGUCAUAUAUUCCAUACAUCACACUAAAUAGAUAUCAUAUUCAUGGAAUACGAUUCACUUUCAAGAUGCCUUGGUGGGUAAUCAGUUUUGAAAUCGUCCGCCCUGCACCCUACCCUCCCCGAGGAGUAUAUGCUUCAACAAGAAUCACACAGGGGUAGAUUGAUACAAUAGAAACCUCUGGUAAAAUACCCACUUGUAG